ACUAACUAUAACCUAGGCUUUUCCAAUGUACCCUCUAGCUUUUGGAGUUUAUCAGGCAAAGUGACAUGGACAUUCAAGAGAAACAUCAUAUUGACCAUUUUCCAAUUUUCUGGAGUCUCAAAACCAGUCUCAUUUUUUUUUUUCAAGAAAUUCUGAAGGGUUCUCAUUCAUGAGACUUCAUGAAAAUUAUUUUUUUUUCUUAGUGGCUCCUUACUAAAAAUCCAACUAAAAUAUAAUCCUAAUAGUGAUUGAGCUUACCUUAGUCUCCACAGUUGAGAUCCAUGGUAGAAAGAACCCAAUAUAGCAUUGGCAUUAGGGAGUCACUGGGCGGUUUUAGCAUAUAGCUGAUUAGCUUUAUCCUCAGCCCUUUUAGCACCAUGUAGUGUUCCUCAGAAGUGAGGAAGUGAUUAAUUUUGUGCAUCUGUCCAACUGGGGUUAUAAGUGGCACAAAGCAAUAAGAACAAAUUUCUUACCUUCUUGGGGCCAUCUCUUGGGGUUAUAGUGUUUAUCCAAUUAAACAGGUGGAAGGUAGAAAAUGGAAAAGGAACCCAAAUCUUUCCUGCAGGCUGUCCCCUGGCAUCUAAGCUCCAAUUGCCUUAGUAGAGAUUGCCCUCCUUGGGGAUGAGUGGCACCCUGACCACAUUGAGUACCACAUAGGGAAUAAGAAGGAAAGAACAUUCCUUCUUCUUGGCACCCCCAAGGUAGGAGGUCCUGCUUCAGAGCCCUGUUGGGGCUCAGGUUUUUGGGACUACUGCUGUAAAGGAGUUUAAUUCAAUAAUUAAUAAAAUAUCCUAUUUUCCCUGGUUAGAACUGGGUAGCACAUACUUUAUAAUUGGAGUAAAGUUGUACAUUUUCUCUGAGCCGGCUUAUUCUGAUAUUCUGAAAGCAUAAAAGAUGGAACAUAAGGUAUUUCAUUCUAUUUUUUCCCUUUUACAAAACAAAUUUAAUUGUAAUGUGGUAUUCUAAUUUAUGGAUGUGUUAAUUGGCUAUUUUUCUCCAGAGUCGAACAAAUAUUGUGGCCAAGUAGUAUUGCAAAAAUACCUAUUUUUUUUUCUUUUUAUAGGUUUGUAAUCAAUUUUGGAGGAUACAGUCAAAAGAGCUGCAUUUGGGGACUGAAUGGUCAUUUCACUUUUCCAAUUAGAACGUGGCUGCUUUUAACUGAAGAUACCAAAAGCUACAGCAACAAACCCAAACCAGAGUGCCUAUGGCCUCCUAUUGGCCAACUCAGCUGGAAGCCAGAGGGUGAAGUAUCCCAGGGUACAAAGCCAGAAAAGAAGCCCAGAGGGUGUCUUUGCCAACUACCAAUUUCUAUAGAGUCAGGAAAGACGUGAGCAGAAACAUCAUGCUGAGAAAAUCUGGAGCUAACAUAUUAUCUAUUUCAAAUAGAUCUGUGACAUGCUUUUGAGAGUGAUGAUACCUGGUAAGUGAAACUUUUACUUUAGAUAUUCUAACUUUAAUCAAUGGAGUCCAGACCAAGUCAACUAUAUGUUAUUUCUGCAUUAAAACCCAGAUGGGAAUGAUGCUUUCCUUUGAUGGCAGGUCUGCCUUUGUUCGUGCCAUGGAAGAUAGAGAAAGCAUCAAAUGAUACAUUACUUUAUCUGCUGCUGACAAGUGUGAUACUCUAUUUCAGUGUGUGUUAUGACUUCUGUUCCUAGAAACAAAGGAAGAAAAAUUAUUAAGCCGUUAAAAAACCUUUUGAAUAUUCAUAACAAUAUGCCCAUGCAUGAUUACUUAGAACAGGAAGUCACUACCAGAUAAAUAAGUUAAAAAUGAAUCAUUUUUCUUCCUUUAGCCGUAUUCAGUCAGUUUCAAGGCAACUACUUACAGUUAAUCUUCAUUAUUGCUAAAUUAUUUUUGCUUUGGUGUCUCUACUAGCGAAAGUGUAUAGACUAUGGGGAGCCGUCCACAUCAAAGUUAGUACUUGAACAAAUAAAGUGGUUUACUUGUUAUGUAUUAAUCA
rnacentral:lncRNA from 12 species